GAUAUUGUUUCGCGAUGGUAUCGCGAUGCAACGCACGAUGGCCGAGCGCAGGUGAACGUGACAGGUGUCAAUUUCGAGGUGACCCCGGUGUGUGUCAAGGAAAUUUUGCUCGCCAUCGAGGUUAAAUUACGCGUGCUCCAGGUUCUUGGAUCCAGUGAUUCGAAUUCCAACUGGAAUACAUUCGACGUUAGUUAUUUGGAAAUUCGACGAAUUUAGAAUCGAUGUUUUUCGAAGAAUGGACGAAAAAAAAUUUGUCACCGAUGAAGUUGGCGGUGCAAACAGACCAAGUUCCCGUUUCCGGGGGAGAGAAAGUUAAAGGAUCACUAAUAUCGAAACGGUAUAGGGAAAAUUGGUGGACGUCGAAGGAAACUGUCCAACGCCGGUGUUGCGUUUCGAAGAGAAGAUGGCCGCUGUGAUCACGGACGCGAAUAUCCUUGGGACACGCUAUCAAAGAUUUGGAUACUUUCAAAGCAGUGAUGAUCGAGUCGAGUGAAAUAUUAUCGCUGUUUCAUCGACAAAAUUUUCGAAUAAUUUUAAUCCAAAGAAAAUUAUCGCUAUCGUUCCCUGUGACGAUCGAUAAUCGUAAAGAGGGAAGGUCGGCGCAAAAGAAAAAAGAAAAAAAAGAAAAAAGGAAAUAAAAAAGGAAAAUGACGGGACACGAUAAAUGUUGAAAUAACAGAAGAGAAUAAAGAUGCAAAAAGGUGAGGGGGCGGUUCAACGUUCCCCGGGAGCGUAAUAUAUCGCGCGAGUGCAACGAGAGACAGAGGCUGAGUCAUCGAUAUAACUUGACGCGCGCACACACAAGCGUGGAGCGCAUGGCCGCCACCACUACAAUCCCAUUCAUAAACAUAAAGGCCGACUUACGCACACCGACGCGCACGUGCGCCUAUUAAAGGACCGUAUGUAAAUGCGCGCACACGUGCGCCCGCGCACGUGUACCUGUGCGUCACUUUGCCGUGAACUUUCGCCUAGCUAGAGCUUUCCGACGAAUUUCAUUCAAAAGCUUCCACCUCUAAUCGUGGAAUGUGCAAAUUGCCAAGGAAUUGCUGCAAUUUACUUGCGGAAGAUUGAUUAUCCUUUUACGCGAGUUUUCUUUUUUUUAAUUAGGAACGAAAAUUCGUUUCGAAUUCCGCGGAUAAUGCACGAAUUUGUUCGAUGAUAAUGCAACAGAGAUAUAUAAAAUAUUUAUUAGAUAUUUAUUCGCGAGCAUUGUUGAGUCUAGAGAUUAAAACGUAAUUACAAAGUUGGUAUGCAAAAAUGUCGGUUAAGGUUAUUUGUUGAAGUUUGCGUUAAACGGAACGAGUGAAAUCGCUUUAUCUUCGCGCCGCUGUCGCAAUUCAUUACAUCUAACGCGAAUUUAUAAGUUAAUAAACAAGGUUUAAUCGACGUUUUCGCGUACCAUCUUUUCUAUUUAUUUAAAAUCGAUCCUCCACGGAAUCGUAUAUCCCACGAAUAUAUCAACACUCCGUGUAAUGGAUAAGUAUAUCGAGUACAAGUGAAUCGUAUUCACGAGUGAGUCUUGAACAUGAGAUACAUAAAAAUAUACUAUAUUUAUUAGAAAUACGUUCGUUUAUUAGAUUGAUGUUAGACAAAUGUCGAAUUAAUAAUAGUGGAGUGUAUUUAAAGAUCAUAGAAUCGUAAUAAAAGUUCGCUGACACGAAA